rnacentral:SRP_RNA from 2 species
GGAAGUUAGUUGAGGGCAGCAAAGUUUGUAAAUUUGGUCAGGUCUGAAAAGAAGCAGCCAUAGCAAGUUAAACUGGGUCUUAGCUAGCUUCCACC